rnacentral:rRNA from 1 species
GUGAGGAAUAUUGGUCAAUGGGCGGGAGCCUGAACCAGCCAAGUCGCGUGAAGGAAGAAGGAUCUAUGGUUCGUAAACUUCUUUUGCAGGGGAAUAAAGUGCAGGACGUGUCCUGUUUUGUAUGUACCCUGAGAAUAAGGAUCGGCUAACUCCGUGCCAGCAGCCGCGGUAAUACGGAGGAUCCGAGCGUUAUCCGGAUUUAUUGGGUUUAAAGGGUGCGUAGGUGGUUUGAUAAGUCAGCGGUGAAAGUUUGCAGCUUAACUGUAAAAAUGCCGUUGAAACUGUCGGACUUGAGUGUAAAUGAGGUAGGCGGAAUGCGUGGUGUAGCGGUGAAAUGCAUAGAUAUCACGCAGAACUCCGAUUGCGAAGGCAGCUUACUAAGCUACAACUGACACUGAAGCACGAAAGCAUGGGGAGCAAACAGGAUUAGAUACCCCAGUAGUCC